rnacentral:rRNA from 1 species
UACGUAGGGGGCAAGCGUUAUCCGGAAUCAUUGGGCGUAAAGCGCGUGUAGGCGGUUCCGUAAGUCCGCUCUGAAAGCCCAGGGCUCAACCCCGUGGAGGCGGGUGGAUACUACGGAACUGGAGUACGGAAGAGGAGAUUGGAAUUCCUGGUGUAGCGGUGAAAUGCGCAGAUAUCAGGAGGAACACCAACAGCGAAGGCAGAUCUCUGGGACGUUACUGACGCUGAGACGCGAAAGCGUGGGGAGCAAACAGG